ACUUAUAUUAAAAUUAAAUAAAAUAUUACAUUUUCAAUGUAGAAAUAACAUUUUAUUAAUGAUUA
rnacentral:tRNA from 1 species